CCUGUCUCACGUUGGUAAACAAUUUCGCGAUCAUGGUUUCCAGUGACUCCGACCACUUGAAACAUUCAUUGCCUCGCGCCUGAAAACAAAAUUUUGACUUGCAUUUACAGAUCUCCAUAUCAAAUUGGAUUCAGUCAUGAAAUCUUAGCCCUAAAAUCCUAAUAUUUUUAUUUUAAGUUUUCAUUUACUGCGAAUCAAUUCAAGCAGUGGUUAAGAGGAUUUUGUUUUGGUUCGUCUCCUACUAUGAGAGGGUUUUUAAAUUUUUUCUUGCAAACUCUUUCCAAUUUUUUUCAUCGGCAUCGUUGAUAGUAGAGAAUCUUGAGGAUCUUUGGAAGGAGAUCUGGAUGCCCUUUUCACAGCUGUAGGCCAAGAACUCCACUUUUUUCCCAUAAUUUCCCAUUGAUCUUACUUCUCUGCGAACCUGCAACCGUCAUUAAGAAGAAGAUGAGGAAGAUUAUGAGGAUGAUCAUGGAGAAAAUCCAAUUUUUGGAUUUAUGUUUGGAAAUGUUAAUUUUGGGGAACUUGACGUGGAUUACCUUGAUGAGGUCAUAUGUAUGCGAUUAUUGCUGAUGAAAACAAUGAAGAAGACACAAAUUAUUUUUUGUGUCGUUGUAUUGAGGCAAAAGAAAAUUGACACUAUCUUGCAUCGAUGGAGAGGGUAUUGAGUACCCAAUAGGGUCUAUUGUUGUAAGAACAACAUGGCUUGGAAGGUACCCUAUGAAUAAAUCUGAUGUUUGGUUGUUCGAGGACUUCGACACACACAUGCAUAUUCUUUAUUACUCUAACCUUGUUGUUGUAGUGAAUAUUUAGUUGAUUAAAUACAUGGCAGACCACUCAUAAUUUAUAGAAAUUUUGUGAAUCUGACCACGAGUAAAUACUUGACACAAUAUGGGUUAGAGCUGAUCCACAAGGUUCAUUAGUUUGAUUCUACAAAAGGGUAGAGUGAUUUUGAAAAUAUUGUAUAUACCCUUGGAAAAUUUUUGUAUAUAGAUAGCCAUGAGUUGAUUUGUACCUAUUUAGAGGCCAUAUUUUGUAUAUAGAUGACCAUGAGCUGAUUUGUAUAUAUUUUAGAGGCCAAAUUUUGUGUAAAGAUGACCAUGAGUUGAUUUUUAUGUAUUGAGAUGAAAUUUUUUGUAUAUAGAUGAUGGCCAUGAGAUGAUUUGUAUGGAUUGAGAGGCAAAAUUUUGUAUAUAUAUGAUGGUCAUGAGCUGAUUUGUA